rnacentral:rRNA from 1 species
CAGUAGCCGCGGUAAUACAGAGGGUGCAAGCGUUAAUCGGAUUUACUGGGCGUAAAGCGUGCGUAGGUGGCUGUUUAAGUCGGAUGUGAAAGCCCUGGGCUUAACCUGGGAACUGCAUUCGAUACUGGAUAGCUAGAGAUCGGUAGAGGGCAGCGGAAUUCCGGGUGUAGCGGUGAAAUGCGUAGAUAUCCGGAGGAACACCGAUGGCGAAGGCAACUGCCUGGGCCUGAUCUGACACUGAGGCACGAAAGCGUGGGUAGCAAACAGGAUUAGAUACCCCAGUAGUCCCUGUCUCUUAUAC